AGCGAACGCUGGCGGCAGGCCUAAUACAUGCAAGUCGAGCGCACCUUCGGGUGAGCGGCGGACGGGUGAGUAACGCGUGGGAACGUGCCCUUUGGUACGGGAUAACUGAGGGAAACUUCAGCUAAUACCGUAUGUGCCCUACGGGGGAAAGAUUUAUCGCCAUUGGAGCGGCCCGCGUUGGAUUAGGUAGUUGGUGAGGUAAAGGCUCACCAAGCCUACGAUCCAUAGCUGGUCUGAGAGGAUGAUCAGCCACACUGGGACUGAGACACGGCCCGUACUCCUACGGGAGGCAGCAGUAGGGAAUCUUGCGCAAUGGGCGAAAGCCUGACGCAGCCAUGCCGCGUGUAUGAUGAAGGUCUUAGGAUUGUAAAAUACUUUCACCGGUGAAGAUAAUGACGGUACCCGGAGAAGAAGCCCCGGCUAACUUCGUGCCAGCCGCCGCCGUAACAC
rnacentral:rRNA from 1 species